GUCUGUCAAAGGCAACACGUGACUGCCGAGUCAUGAACCUAUUGGUCCGCUUUGUGGCCCGCUUAUAUAAUUACACAAAACGUUGUAUAACCACUUACCAGCGACUGUCGGAAUAGAACAGGAAGAUUCACCGUUCUAUAUCAGGGACAGCCACCUCCUCUGGUUCCUCCAGAGGAAUACCAAGGCGUUCCCAGGCCAGCCGAGAAAUAUAAUCUCUCCAACGUGUCCUGGGUCUGCCCCAUGGCCUCCUUCCAGUUUGACAUGCCUGAAACACCUCCCCAGGGAGACGUCCAGGAGGCAUCCUGGAUAGAUGCCUGAACCACCUCAACUGGCCCCUUUUGAUGUAGAGGAGCAACGCCCCCUUCCGAAGAACUGUCCUGGAAUGUGAAUCUGAAUGGAGAGAAAAGAAAUGGACACAUCUUUUUGUGGUGCUCCAGGAAGUCGUGUGUCAAGACGUCCAUCAUCCACAG